rnacentral:rRNA from 1 species
AACGAACGCUGGCGGCAUGCCUAACACAUGCAAGUCGAACGAGACCUUCGGGUCUAGUGGCGCACGGGUGCGUAACGCGUGGGAACCUGCCCUUAGGUUCGGAAUAACUCCCCGAAAGGGGUGCUAAUACCGGAUAAUGUCUUCGGACCAAAGAUUUAUCGCCUUUGGAUGGGCCCGCGUUGGAUUAGCUAGUUGGUAGGGUAAAAGCCUACCAAGGCGACGAUCCAUAGCUGGUCUGAGAGGAUGAUCAGCCGCACUGGGACUGAGACACGGCCCAGACUCCUACGGGAGGCAGCAGUGGGGAAUAUUGGACAAUGGGCGAAAGCCUGAUCCAGCAAUGCCGCGUGAGUGAUGAAGGCCUUAGGGUUGUAAAGCCCUUUUACCCGGGAUGAUAAUGACAGUACCGGGAGAAUAAGCUCCGGCUAACUCCGUG